GACGUAGGGGGCGAGCGUUGUCCGGAUUUAUUGGGCGUAAAGAGCGUGUAGGCGGCCUGACAGGUCUGCUGUGAAAACUCGAGGCUCAACCUCGAGAUGUCGGCGGAAACCGUCUGGCUAGAGUCCGGAAGAGGAGAGUGGAAUUCCUGGUGUAGCGGUGAAAUGCGCAGAUAUCAGGAAGAACACCUAUGGCGAAGGCAGCUCUCUGGGACGGUACUGACGCUGAGACGCGAAAGCGUGGGGAGCGAACAGG
rnacentral:rRNA from 1 species